UACGUAGGGUGCAAGCGUUAAUCGGAAUUACUGGGCGUAAAGCGUGCGCAGGCGGUUUUGUAAGUCUGACGUGAAAUCCCCGGGCUCAACCUGGGAAUUGCGUUGGAGACUGCAAGGCUGGAGUCUGGCAGAGGGGGGUAGAAUUCCACGUGUAGCGGUGAAAUGCGUAGAUAUCUGGAGGAACACCGGUGGCGAAGGCGGCAUCCUGGACCGGCAUUGACACUGAAAAGCGAAAGCCAGGGGAGCAAACGGG
rnacentral:rRNA from 1 species